rnacentral:rRNA from 1 species
GCUGGCGGCACGCCUUAUACAUGCAAGUCGAACGAAGUAGCAAUACUUAGUGGCAGACGGGUGAGUAACAUGUGGGUAUCUUCCCUUUGGUGAGGAAUAACACGAGGAAACUUGUGCUAAUACCUCAUAAGUCUUUACGGAGAAAGCUUUAUGCGCCAAUGGAUGAGCCCGCACUUGAUUAGUUUGUUGGUGGGGUAAUGGCCUACCAAGACUUUGAUCAAUAGCUGAUCUGAGAGGAUGAUCAGCCACAUUGGGACUGAGACACGGCCCAAACUCCUACGGGAGGCAGCAGUAGGGAAUAUUGCACAAUGGAGGAAACUCUGAUGCAGCGAUGCCGCGUGAGUGAAGAAGGCCCUUGGGUUGUAAAGCUCUUUCGUUGGGGAAGAAAAUGACUGUACCCGAAUAAGAAGGUCCGGCUAACUUCGUGCCAGCAGCCGCGGUAAUACGAAGGGACCUAGCGUAGUUCGGAAUUACUGGGCUUAAAGAGUUCGUAGGUGGUUAAAAAAGUUGGUUGUGAAAUCCCGGAGCUUAACUCCGGAACUGCAAUCAAAACUUUUUAGCUAGAGUAUGAUAGAGGAAAGCAGAAUUUCUAGUGUAGAGGUGAAAUUCGUAGAUAUUAGAAAGAAUACCAAUUGCGAAGGCAGCUUUCUGGAUCAUUACUGACACUGAGGAACGAAAGCAUGGGUAGCGAAGAGGAUUAGAUACCCUCGUAGUCCAUGCCGUAAACGAUGUGUGUUAGACGUUGGAAAUUUAUUUUUAGUGUCGCAGCGAAAGCAAUAAACACACCGCCUGGGGAGUACGA